rnacentral:rRNA from 1 species
UGGUCAUUUAGAGGAAGUAAAAGUCGUAACAAGGUCUCCGUUGGUGAACCAGCGGAGGGAUCAUUAUCGAGUUUAUAACUCCCAAACCCUAUGUGAACUUACCACUUGUUGCUUCGGCGCGCGCUUCGGUGCCGC